UUACUCUUAUUAAAAUUUUGUAAUUCUUUUAUGUUAUUGAAUUUAUUAAUUUUUUCUGCAUACAUUUGAUGGGCUUCCUUCAGAUUGUUUUACUCACUUCCCAUUGAGAUCCCCUCCAGUUCUAGUCCAAGAGCGCAUUGAAAUAGCUAUUGCCCGUGUUGGGAACAAUCACUUUGUGCAACUUUUCUUGCAGUCUCAUUACCCUGUACCACCCUUCCCAAUAUGGUGGUGGAACAAUGCAUCAGACCAAGCUAAAAGAUGGGCUGCUCGUUAUACAACACGAAUUAGUUUGUGACAAGAAAUAAUGGAUACAAGACCAAGAGGGACAGGAGCAGAAUUUGGUGGAAACAUUGAUUAGAAAUUGAAUUUUCAUGUAUUUUCAAUCUUCGAUGAAAUUAGUACAAGUUAUGUUUGUAUAAGUUAUAUUUUAAUUAUUCAUUUAUUAAUUAAAAUUAUAGUAAGAAGUCUUUUAAAAGUAAAACAAA